GGACGCAGCCGACCACGGUCGGGUCAGCGACUGGGGUGAAGUCGUAACAAGGUAGCCGUAGGGGAACCUGCGGCUGGAUCACCUCCUUUCAAGGAAGCUUUCCGAGCUUCGGACCGGGUAACUGGUCCGGAUUGGAACGCUCCGGUAAAAAGUCCUCCCUCUAGGAUCAGGGGAGGCACAGCCAAGGAACCGCAUUCCCGUGACCUCGGUCAUGGAAGCGCCGUCAACAUAUCCCGUCCAGCAACAAUCGUCGGACCCUUUUGGGCUAGUAGCUCAGUUGGUUAGAGCACACGCUUGAUAAGCGUGGGGUCGGAGGUUCAAGUCCUCCCUGGCCCACCAUCGGGAUCACCAUCGGGGGCGUAGCUCAGCUGGGAGAGCACCUGCUUUGCAAGCAGGGGGUCGUCGGUUCGAUCCCGUCCGCCUCCACCAGGUGGCCCAUUCCUGUGUUUGGGUUGCCUGAUGCCGGAAGGCUGUGGGUCUGGAACGAAGACGGUUGUUGGUUGGGAAAAGAGAUCGGACGGAUGUCCGGCAGCCGCGAUGCGGCGCCGGGUGUCUUAGUCUGGUGAGUUUGUUCUUUGUCAGUGUGAAUAGGUUGGUGCGUUCGUGUGCGUGCCGUGUCGCGGGUUGGUCUGACCCAUGCGAUGGUCCGGGGAACCGGGGUAUUGCGUGCUGUGCGAUGUGGCGGAAGCGUACAUGGACGACGAAGUAGAGAAGAGUGGUCGUGAGAUGAACUGCACUUUCUUAUGUGCGGGACUGUCUGCCCCUGGGUGGAUGGCUCCUGUGCAUGUGUGGUGAAUGAGCGCGAUAAGGGCAUUCGGUGGAUGCCUUGGCACCAGGAGGCGACGAAAGACGUGGCACGCUGCGAAAAGCCAUGGGGAGCCGCGAGCAGGCUUUGAUCCGUGGAUAUCUGAAUGGGGAAACCCACCCAGCGAUGGGUAUCAUGUCCUGAAUACAUAGGGGCAUGAGGCGAACCCGGGGAACUGAAACAUCUAAGUACCCGGAGGAAAAGACAUCAAUUGAGAUUCCGCCAGUAGUGGCGAGCGAACGCGGAACAGGCCCGUGAUUGUUGCAGAAGAAGCAGAACGGAAUGGAAAGUCCGGCCAGAGAGGGUGAUAGCCCCUUAUGCGUAGUGUCUGUGAUGAUCCUUGAGUAGGGCGGGACACGUGAAAUCCUGUCUGAACAUGGGGGGACCACCCUCCAAGCCUAAAUACUCCC
rnacentral:sRNA from 1 species